rnacentral:misc_RNA from 1 species
AACGCACCUUGCGCCCCUUGGCAUUCCGAGGGGCACACCCGUUUGAGUGUCGUGAACAUCCUCAACCUGCUUGGUUUUACCGAACCAAGUAGGCUUGGAAUUUGGAGGUUUUCUGCUGGCCUCCUCCGAAGCCAGCUCCUCUUAAAUGUAUCAGUGGGAUCCGCUUUGCUAGAUCCUCGACGUUGAUAAGAUGUUUCUACGUCUUGGAUUUCGCUCGGGAAGGAACCUGCUUCUAACCGUCCCAUCGGGGACAAUGUUCGAGCCGAUCGCCCUUCACGGGGUGGGAAGCUUUCGACCCAUGAAACCUUGACCUCAAAUCGGGUGAGACUACCCGCUGAACUUAA